CGAUUAUUAUUCUUGUCAAAUAAUGAUAGGAAGACGACACUAAAUCGAGAGCUGAAUUUCCUCGAGAAUUCCCUCGUAAGCCAGUUUUAUACUUCAUUAAGAAAAAACACAUACGCGAUACGAAGGAGAAAAAAACAGAUGAGAGAAAUGUUGACGGCACUCAAGUCCUCGAGCUUUUAGGCACCAUGGCAACGUAUUCAAGGCUGGAUGAGUAUAUUUCAGCAGGUCCACUUAGCCUAAAAGGAGGCACUCCAACAAGUAAAAGGCCUACGAACAGGUGGUUGUUCUCAAUACAAGAAAUCGUCAAUGAAACUUGUAAUGACUAGGACCGCUUUUAAUAAACCGCUAAUAGCUCAAAUACAACAA